CUUCCGGCUGAGGGCCUGCAUCCGGGCGGCGCCGGGCUGCGGUGAGGCGGAGAGCGGCGUGCGGGCAGAUGAGGAAGACGGAGCUUUAGCCGGGAAGCCUUUUCAAAGCCCCUUGCCACGGUAACAAUGAGCUCUCCAAGCACCGCACAAGUUCAGAAGAAAGCCGGAGAGGAUUUCUGACCAAAGCACAGAGCAAGCGGCAUGGAGGAAUUGAAUCGGCACGGCCCAAAGUGAAAGAAGAGGGAUGGUCGUUUGAUGGAGAGUGCUUUUGUUACGGCCUGCAGAGCCUUUGUGCGUAAACGUGGGAGGAUACAGGACAGGAGACCUGGAACGUCCGUGCCGUGAGAGACCGGCCGGUCCUCCUGCAGUCCUCUCACACCUGCAGGGUCAGAACAGGUGAACAGACUGAGACGGCUGUUGGUGUGCAGUCCCUGACAGGAGCAGCGGAAGAGCCUUAAGGAAGCGGGGCUCUCCCAGAAGAGAGAGGCACGCAAACACUGCUGCUGUAAAGCUCCUGGAGGGCCGUCCGCAGGCUGCGCUCCUCCUCGUCCUCGUCGUCGUCGUCCUCGUCCUCGUCGUCGUCCUGCUGCUGCUGCUGCUGCUCCUCCUCGUCCUCGUGCCGCCUGUUUGCAAGCCAAGGAC
rnacentral:lncRNA from 1 species